AUUUUUCUCAUUUGAUAUGUACCAGGAAAUAUAUUAGUAUUUAUAAUGUACAUUUUGCCCUCUUUUUAAUGUGAAAUUGAUAAAAGAUGUAUCUUCUCCUGGGUCAGGAACCCAGUUCUUGUCAACAUUUAAAAAUCUUGCACUUCCAACCAUUUUAUAAUUAUUCAGGUGUUUUUUAUACAAAAUGCCUUGUGAAUGAAGAGAUACUCAGUAAAGGGGUGUACUGGAGUGUUCAUUCUGAGUGUGAUACAUGUAUAAUCAAUACUACUCCCAAAAUUGCAAUUUGUAACCCUUCUAAAAGGGUUCUAUAUGUUUGUAUUAUUUAUUUUUCAUAACAACUGAUUGAUUCAUGGAGGCUUUUUUUUUUUACAGUCAUUUAUAUCUUAUUACUGUUAAAAUCAAAAUAUUCAAUACUGUAUUUUUUCGGUGUCUAACAUUCCAUUCCUUAGGUUUGUCUGUUGGAUUGACCACUACCCAUGCCAGUACAUGUAACACUGUGAUUGACAGCUCAAAUGUUUCACGUUUUUUGUUUACAUAUACCGGUAUUAUCUGUAUUUGAUUUUCUAAUGAUUUGCUGUGAUGACAAGAUGCAAUAACUAUGAUAUUGAUGGAAUCAGCUUUUAUUUUGAUUCAAGAUUCAAGAUUAGAUAACCACGCAUCUAUUAUUUUGUGAUGACAUUUUUCAGUUCAUUCAUAAAUAUAUGUCUAUUUUUUCCUCCAUUAAAGAAUAAAUUGAU
rnacentral:misc_RNA from 1 species